rnacentral:rRNA from 1 species
GUGCCAGCCGCCGCGGUAAGACGAGGGGUCCAAGCGUUGUUCGGAAUCAUUGGGCGUAAAGCGGGUGUAGGCGGCCUUGCAAGUCAGAAGUGAAAGCCCUGGGCUCAACCCAGGAAGUGCUUUUGAAACUGCAAGGCUUGAGUGUGGGAGAGGAUAGUGGAAUUCCAGGUGUAGUGGUGAAAUACGUAGAGAUCUGGAGGAACACCGGUGGCGAAGGCGGCUAUCUGGCCCAACACUGACGCUCAGACCCGAAAGCGUGGGGAUCAAACAGGAUUAGAUACCCUGGUAGUCCACGCCAUAAACGAUGGAUACUUGGUGUUGGUGGUAUUGACCCCAUCAGUGCCGUAGCUAACGCGAUAAGUAUCCCGCCUGGGAAGUACGGCCGCAAGGUUAAA